AGAGUUUGAUCCUGGCUCAGGAUGAACGCUGGCGGCGUGCCUAAUACAUGCAAGUCGAACGAGGUGCUUUUUGUAGCAAUACGAGAGGUAUCCUAGUGGCGAACGGGUGAGUAACGCGUUGGUGACCUGCCCCAAAGUGUGGGAUAACAGUCCGAAAGGAUUGCUAAUACCGCAUGUGGUCCCCGGAUUUAGAAACCGGUGACUAAAGCAGCAAUGCGCUUUGGGAGGGACCUGCGUCCCAUCAGCUAGUUGGUGAGGUAACGGCCCACCAAGGCUACGACGGGUAGGGGACUUGUGAGGGUGGCCCCCCACAAUGGAACUGAAACACGGUCCAUACACCUACGGGUGGCAGCAGUAGGGAAUAUUGCCCGUUAACGAAAGCCUGAUGCAGCAACGCCGCGUGCGUAGAAUUAUGUUCGGAUCGUAAAGCGCUUUUCUGGGAGAUGAGAAAGGACAGUUCCCAGAAUA
rnacentral:rRNA from 1 species